rnacentral:pre_miRNA from 1 species
GUUCGUGCACCUGCAAUAGUUGAAGCUGCCAGCAUGAUCUGAGCUUACCUUCUUGUAAUAAUGGUAAGAACAGAUCAUAUGGCAGCUUCACCUGUUGAAUGGAAGCAU